rnacentral:rRNA from 1 species
CCUACGGGUGGCAGCAGUGGGGGAUAUUGGACAAUGGGGGAAACCCUGAUCCAGCGACGCCGCGUGAGUGAAGAAGUAUUUCGGUAUGUAAAGCUCUGUCAGCAGGGAAGAAAAAAAUGACGCUACCUGACCAAGCAGCCCCGGCUAACUACGUGCCAGCAGCAGCGGUAAUACGUAGGGGGCCAGCGUUAGCCGGUAUUACUGGGUGUAAAGGGAGCGUAGACGGUGGUGCAAGGCUGUAGUGAAAGCCGGGGGCUCAACCCCCGGACUGCUCUGGAAACUGUGUAACUUGAGUGCAGGAGAGGUAAGCGGAAUUCCUAGUGUAGCGGUGAAAUGCGUAGAUAUUAGGAGGAACACCAGUGGCGAAGGCGGCUUACUGGACUGUAACUGACGUUGAGGCUCGAAAGCGUGGGGAGCAAACAGGAUUAGAUACCCUUGUAGUC